ACCUCCUUAGAUUGGAUCCAUAAUCCGGUUAGGUCUAAAAGCUUAUUCCUUGAUGAUCGAUCCGGACCAUAUAAACCCGGCCCAUGAACAAACCCAAACCACGAUCUAGAUCAAUUCUCUCUCUCUUUCUUCUUUUUAUUCUUUUUUCUCUCUCUAUUAAAUGCUAACGGUGUUAAUUAUUUUGACCAGAGCCUUCCACUCCAGGGAGGCA
rnacentral:lncRNA from 1 species